rnacentral:rRNA from 1 species
AAUGAACGCUGGCGGCAGGCCUAACACAUGCAAGUCGAGCGAAGUCUUCGGACUUAGCGGCGGACGGGUGAGUAACGCGUGGGAACGUACCUUUGCUUCGGAAUAGCCUCGGGAAACUGGGAGUAAUACCGAAUGUGCCCUACGGGGGAAAGAUUUAUCGGCAAAAGAUCGGCCCGCGUUGGAUUAGGUAGUUGGUGGGGUAAUGGCCUACCAAGCCGACGAUCCAUAGCUGGUUUGAGAGGAUGAUCAGCCACACUGGGACUGAGACACGGCCCAGACUCCUACGGGAGGCAGCAGUGGGGAAUCUUAGACAAUGGGCGCAAGCCUGAUCUAGCCAUGCCGCGUGAUCGAUGAAGGCCUUAGGGUUGUAAAGAUCUUUCGUGGGGGAAGAUAAUGACGGUACCCCAAGAAGAAGCCCCGGCUAACUCCGUGCCAGCAGCCGCGGUAAU